AUUGAACGCUGGCGGCAUGCCUUACACAUGCAAGUCGAACGGUAACAGGUCUUCGGAUGCUGACGAGUGGCGAACGGGUGAGUAAUGCAUCGGAACGUGCCCAGUAGUGGGGGAUAGCCCGGCGAAAGCCGGAUUAAUACCGCAUACGACCUGAGGGUGAAAGGGGGGGAUCGCAAGACCUCCCGCUAUGGGAGCGGCCGAUGUCAGAUUAGCUAGUUGGUGGGGUAAAGGCCUACCAAGGCAACGAUCUGUAGUUGGUCUGAGAGGACGACCAGCCACACUGGGACUGAGACACGGCCCAGACUCCUACGGGAGGCAGCAGUGGGGAAUUUUGGACAAUGGGCGCAAGCCUGAUCCAGCAAUGCCGCGUGCAGGAAGAAGGCCUUCGGGUUGUAAACUGCUUUUGUCAGGGAAGAAAUCUUCUGGGUUAAUACCUCGGGAGGAUGACGGUACCUGAAGAAUAAGCACCGGCUAACUACGUGCCAGCAGCCGCAGUAAGAC
rnacentral:rRNA from 1 species